rnacentral:rRNA from 1 species
CAGCCGCCGCGGUAAUACGGAGGGGGCUAGCGUUGUUCGGAAUUACUGGGCGUAAAGCGCACGUAGGCGGCUUGGUAAGUUAGAGGUGAAAGCCCGGAGCUCAACUCCGGAAUUGCCUUUAAGACUGCCGAGCUAGUAGGUGAGAGAGGUAAGUGGAAUUCCGAGUGUAGAGGUGAAAUUCGUAGAUAUUCGGAAGAACACCAGUGGCGAAGGCGGCUUACUGGCUCAUUCUAGACGCUGAGGUGCGAAAGCGUGGGGAGCAAACAGGAUUAGAUACCCGUGUAGUCCCUGUCUCUUAUAC